rnacentral:rRNA from 1 species
GGCGGACGGCUGAGUAACACGUGGGUGACCUGCCCCCGAGCGGGGGAUAACUGCCCGAAAGGGUGGCUAAUACCGCAGACAUCGGUGACUCGGUUCGCCGAUUGAACCUCCGGGGUUCGGGGAGGGGCCCGCGGCCGAUUAGCUGGCUGGUGGGGUAAUGGCCUACCAGGGCUGCGAUCGGUAGCUGGUCUGAGAGGAUGAUCAGCCAGACUGGGACUGCGAACGGCCCAGACUCCUACGGGAGGCAGCAGUUAGGAAUUUUGGGCAAUGGGCGGAAGCCUGACCCAGCAACGCCGCGUGGGUGAUGAAGGCCCUCGGGUCGUAAAGCCCUUUUCCCGGGGAAGAUGGUGACGGUACCUGGGGAAUCAGCCCCGGCUAACUACGUGCCAGCCGCCGCGG